rnacentral:rRNA from 1 species
GACGAACGCUGGCGGCGUGCUUAACACAUGCAAGUCGAACGGAAAGGCCCUGCUUUUGUGGGGUGCUCGAGUGGCGAACGGGUGAGUAACACGUGAGUAACCUGCCCUUGACUUUGGGAUAACUUCAGGAAACUGGGGCUAAUACCGGAUAGGAGCUCCUGCUGCAUGGUGGGGGUUGGACAGUUUCGGCGGGUGGGGAUGGACUCGCGGCUUAUCAGCUUGUUGGUGGGGUAGUGGCUUACCAAGGCUUUGACGGGUAGCCGGCCUGAGAGGGUGACCGGCGACAUUGGGACUGAGAUACGGCCCAGACUCCUACGGGAGGCAGCAGUGGGGAAUAUUGCACAAUGGGCGGAAGCCUGAUGAAGCAACGCCGCGUGCGGGAUGACGGCCUUCGGGGUGUAAACCGCUGUCGCCUGUGACGAAGCGUGAGUGACGGUAAUGGGUAAAGAAGCACCGGCUAACUACGUG